GACAGAGGGUGCAAACGUUGCUCGGAAUUACUGGGCGUAAAGCGCGUGUAGGCGGUUCCGCAAGUCAGGUGUGAAAGCCCAGGGCUCAACCCUGGAAGUGCACUUGAUACUACGGAGCUUGAGUACUGAAGAGGAGAGCGGAAUUCCCGGUGUAGAGGUGAAAUUCGUAGAUAUCGGGAGGAACACCGGUGGCGAAGGCGGCGACCUGGGUAGAUACUGACGCUGAGGUGCGAAAGCGUGGGGAGCAAACAGG
rnacentral:rRNA from 1 species